rnacentral:rRNA from 1 species
CGGACGGGUGAGUAAUGUCUGGGAAACUGCCCGAUGGAGGGGGAUAACUACUGGAAACGGUAGCUAAUACCGCAUAACGUCGCAAGACCAAGAGGGGGACCUUAGGGCCUCUUGCCAUCGGAUGUGCCCAGAUGGGAUUAGCUAGUAGGUGGGGUAACGGCUCACCUAGGCGACGAUCCCUAGCUGGUCUGAGAGGAUGACCAGCCACACUGGAACUGAGACACGGUCCAG